CUGGGGUCACCUCAAGGAGCAGGAGCUGGGUUUCUUCCGGGCCCCCAAGACGCAAGGACAGUCAUCCUGUAAGAUGUGAACACACGGCACAAACCUGGCUUUGAGGUGGUGGCCCCCUCCGACCGCCGCUGCUCCAACUUCUUCUGAACAGACGCUACUAGCCACGCCUCUGAUCCGUGGAAAUUUUGGAAGGAAACGCAGGCUGGGAAGGAAAAGGGAAUUCAGGCAGAGCAGCACGUGUUUUCUGAAAAGCCGUGUGGGUGUGGCCAGCCGCAGGCUGGACGCUCCCCGAGGGGCCCCAGGAAGACAGACAGACAGACGGCUGGACAGAAACACGUCCCAGGUUGAAGUCUACUCCCCAGUGCGAUGCGGUGAGGAGGUGGGGUCUCCGGGAGCCCCCACAAAAGAGACGCCAGAGAGCUCCCUCACCCCUUCCUCCAUGCGCGGGCUCGGCGAGGACACAGCUGCCUCCAGAAACCAGGAGCGCGUCCUCAGCUGACACAGAAUCUGUCCGCACCUUGACCUUGGACUUCCAGCCCUCAAAACUGUGAGAGACUGAAGUCUGUUGUUUAUCAGCCCCCCAGGCAGUGGAAUACUGUCAUAACAGCCCAAAUAAACUAAGACAGAG
rnacentral:lncRNA from 1 species